rnacentral:rRNA from 1 species
UACGAAGGGGGCUAGCGUUGUUCGGAAUCACUGGGCGUAAAGCGCACGUAGGCGGAUGUAUCAGUCAGGGGUGAAAUCCCGGAGCUCAACUUCGGAACUGCCCUUGAUACAGCACGUCUUGAGUCCGGAAGAGGUGGGUGGAAUUCCUAGUGUAGAGGUGAAAUUCGUAGAUAUUAGGAAGAACACCGGUGGCGAAGGCGGCCCACUGGUCCGGUACUGACGCUGAGGUGCGAAAGCGUGGGGAGCAAACAGG